GACGAACGCUGGCGGCGUGCUUAACACAUGCAAGUCGAACGGAAAGGCCCUGCUUUUGUGGGGUGCUCGAGUGGCGAACGGGUGAGUAACACGUGAGUAACCUGCCCUUGACUUUGGGAUAACUUCAGGAAACUGGGGCUAAUACCGGAUAGGAGCUCCUGCCGCAUGGUGGGGGUUGGAAAGUUUCGGCGGUUGGGGAUGGACUCGCGGCUUAUCAGCUUGUUGGUGGGGUAGUGGCUUACCAAGGCUUUGACGGGUAGCCGGCCUGAGAGGGUGACCGGCCACAUUGGGACUGAGAUACGGCCCAGACGCCUACGGGAGGCAGCAGUGGGGAAUAUUGCACAAUGGGCGGAAGCCUGAUGCAGCAACGCCGCGUGCGGGAUGACGGCCUUCGGGUUGUAAACCGCUUUCGCCUGUGACGAAGCGUGAGUGACGGUAAUGGGUAAAGAAGCACCGGCUAACUACGUG
rnacentral:rRNA from 1 species